CUGAAUUCGAGUAGGCUGGCAAGCCCCAGGAAGAAGGCUGGCAGUCAGAGUGGCCACUACAGCUCUCUGCAGCAGACCCUCUUCCCAGGCCAGACAGCUCAGCCUUUGCCAGACCCCCACAGUGAACCUAACCUUUGCAGCCAAGAAGAGGCUUCAUUUCUGAUUCAAAGAUGUCAUAAAGAAAGACUACAGGAGUGCAGUUGUCAUGGUGGGUGUUCAAAGUGGGGAAGAAAGGCCAGCAAGCAGGCACCUGAUGGGGAGGCAAACAAUCUGCCAAAGAAAGGCCUUCUCUGGAAUGUAUUGCUUCAUGGCAAGUUGCAGAUGACUUUGGAAUAUGGAACCUUCAUAACCCAGCAUCACUGGGAAAUUCUCAUGGACAUUUGUGAAACCAAAGGAUGGAGGACACACAGCAGAACGGCACCAGUACUAUGCAUAGUUUGUUCACAUACUCUCCAUCAUCCACAGAUAAAUAUAAGGGCACACCUGGAACACCCCUAUUCUCAUACCAACCAUCACUUCAUGACUAGUCCCUCUUUCCAUGGUUGGAGGCUUCUGGGUAGAAGGAGAGCUUUAGAAGGAGAGCUUUUCACCCCACUUGCGGGAACUUGUAAGCAUGGUUAUAAAACAGGAAAUUUCCCAAGAAAGUCACAACCACAGGUUGAAAUCCAAAUAAAAAUAUAUAUUAUUGAAGACACA